rnacentral:rRNA from 1 species
GCAACGGAUAUCUCGGCUCACGCAUCGAUGAAGAACGUAGCAAAAUGCGAUACUUGGUGUGAAUUGCAGAAUCCCGUGAACCAUCGAGUUUUUGAACGCAGUUGCGCCCAAAGCCAUCCGGUUGAGGGCACGCCUGCCUGGGCGUCACGCAUCGCGUCGCU